AGGUGUGAGGGCCAGCUGGCUGCGACACCUGUCACCCCAUGAUCGCCAGGGUGGAUCAGAGGAUCAGGCUGGCUAGGCAGGUGUCUCCUUCAUCCCUGGCUUCUCCAAGUACAUCCCUCUCAAAGCUGUGUACUUGGUCGAGGAGAAUGGCCACCCUGCUAGAGGAGGAUUGUUCUUUGGUCAAGGGAACAAGCACCUGUGCUCCCCUGCUAACAUAACCCAAACAAUCUCACAAGAAAUGUCAGGACAGUGACCUAAAAGACCCUGAAGGAUAUCCUCAGAGUAUGUCAUCAGAGUAUGCCCAUGA
rnacentral:snRNA from 1 species